UACGUAGGGGGGCGAGCGUUUGUCCGGAUUCAUUGGGCGUAAAGAGCUCGUAGGCGGCUUGGCAAGUCGGGUGUGAAACCUCCAGGCUCAACCUGGAGACGCCACCCGAUACUGCUAUGGCUAGAGUCCGGUAGGGGACCACGGAAUUCCUGGUGUAGCGGUGAAAUGCGCAGAUAUCGGGAGGAACACCAAUGGCGAAGGCAGCUCGCUGGGACGGUACUGACGCCUGAGGCGCGAAAGCGUGGGGGAGCAAACAGGG
rnacentral:rRNA from 1 species